CAAUAGCGUAUAUUAAAGUUGUUGCAGUUAAAAAGCUCGUAGUUGAAGAUACGAACGCUUACACUAGAACAAAGUUUCCGGUGUCUGCGUUCACUUUUCGCAAAGACAGCCUGGCCCAUUAGUUUGGGUCUUGUUUGAGUUGCGUCAUUUACUGUGAACAAAUUAGGGUGUUUAAAGCAGGCCUACGUUUGAAUACACUAGCAUGGAAUAAUAAGGUAUGAUCUUGGUCGUAUUUUGUUGGUGACUACCAAGAUAAUGAUUGAUAGAAACUGUUGUGGGUAUUCGUAUGAGCAUGUCAGAGGUGAAAUUCUUGGAUUUUGAUCAGACGAACUACUGCGAAAGUAUUUACCAAGGAUGUUUUCAUUGA
rnacentral:rRNA from 1 species